rnacentral:lncRNA from 1 species
UCUAAGGCAGUCUCCUAGUUAUUUUUCGCCUCUUACAGUAAAAAUCGUAACGAGAGAGAUGUUCCACUAUAAGAACAAUGAUAUAUCCAUAAGAAUAAGCGUGCGAAGCAAAAGCCAUGAAAGGACACGAGACAAAUGACGUUUGCGAGAACGUGUCGGGACCGAACUUCGUAAGACGUGCCCGAAAUCUGUAACCGAAAGCUGAUCACCUACCGACGAAGGGAUUCCCGUAGCG